UACGUAGGGGGCUAGCGUUGCUCGGAAUCACUGGGCUUAAAGGGUGCGUAGGCGGGCAGGUAAGUCAGUGGUGAAAUCUCCGAGCUUAACUUGGAAACUGCCGUUGAUACUAUCUGCCUUGAAUAUUGUGGAGGUGAGCGGAAUAUGUCAUGUAGCGGUGAAAUGCCUAGAUAUGACAUAGAACACCAAUUGCGAAGGCAGCUCGCUACACAUAUAUUGACGCUGAGGCACGAAAGCGUGGGGAUCAAACAGG
rnacentral:rRNA from 1 species